rnacentral:rRNA from 1 species
ACGCUGGCGGCAGGCUUAACACAUGCAAGUCGAACGGUAACAGGAAUUAGCUUGCUAAUUUGCUGACGAGUGGCGGACGGGUGAGUAAUGCUUGGGAAUCUGGCUUAUGGAGGGGGAUAACUACGGGAAACUGUAGCUAAUACCGCGUAAAAUCUUCGGAUUAAAGGGUGGGACUUUCGAGCCACCUGCCAUAAGAUGAGCCCAAGUGGGAUUAGGUAGUUGGUUAGGUAAAGGCUGACCAAGCCGACGAUCUCUAGCUGGUCUGAGAGGAUGACCAGCCACACUGGAACUGAGACACGGUCCAGACUCCUACGGGAGGCAGCAGUGGGGAAUAUUGCACAAUGGGGGGAACCCUGAUGCAGCCAUGCCGCGUGAAUGAAGAAGGCCUUCGGGUUGUAAAGUUCUUUCGGUGACGAGGAAGGUUGAUAGGUUAAUAGCCUAUCAAAUUGACGUUAAUCACAGAAGAAGCACCGGCUAACUCCGUGCCAGCAGCCGCGGUAAUACGGGGGGUGCGAGCGUUAAUCGGAAUAACUGGGCGUAAAGGGCACGCAGGCGGUGACUUAAGUGAGAUGUGAAAGCCCCGAGCUUAACUUGGGAAUUGCAUUUCAUACUGGGUCGCUAGAGUACUUUAGGGAGGGGUAGAAUUCCACGUGUAGCGGUGAAAUGCGUAGAGAUGUGGAGGAAUACCGAAGGCGAAGGCAGCCCCUUGGGAAUGUACUGACGCUCAUGUGCGAAAGCGUGGGGAGCAAACAGGAUUAGAUACCCUGGUAGUCCACGCUGUAAACGAUGUCGAUUUGGGGAUUGGGCUUUGAGCUUGGUGCCCGUAGCUAACGUGAUAAAUCGACCGCCUGGGGAGUACGGCCGCAAGGUUAAAACUCAAAUGAAUUGACGGGGGCCCGCACAAGCGGUGGAGCAUGUGGUUUAAUUCG